AGCGAACGCUGGCGGCAGGCUUAACACAUGCAAGUCGAGCGGGCGUAGCAAUACGUCAGCGGCAGACGGGUGAGUAACGCGUGGGAACAUACCUUUGGUUCGGAACAACACAGGGAAACUUGUGCUAAUACCGGAUAAGCCCUUACGGGGAAGAUUUAUCGCCGAAAGAUUGGCCCGCGUCUGAUUAGCUAGUUGGUGAGGUAACGGCUCACCAAGGCGACGAUCAGUAGCUGGCUGAGAGGAUGAUCAGCCACAUUGGGACUGAGACACGGCCCAAACUCCUACGGGAGGCAGCAGUGGGGAAUAUUGGACAAUGGGCGAAAGCCUGAUCCAGCCAUGCCGCGUGAGUGAUGAA
rnacentral:rRNA from 1 species